GUGUUUUUCAGUUAAACUUAUGAAGUUUUUUGUUUCAGAUUAUAAAAUUCAGCUUCAUUCUCAUAGACGAACAUUGGAAUAUUUUCUAUAGAGUGAAGCCUUCAACAGUUCUUAUAGUGAAGCCUAUCUUGCUACGUCUGGAGUUUUAUUAGUGAAGUUUAGAACCAAAGUUAAUUAGUGCAAUAUUACAACACUGAUAAUUCAGUGGUUAGUGAAAUAAAUGUAUAACUGUUUGAACUUCAAGACGAAGGUUUGGCUACCCUACUUCAUGACUCAAAGAAAUGUCAAAUUGUUGACGAGAUGAAAGUGAGGUGUUUUGAGGUGGCUGGGACACGUUGAGAGGAUGAGUGACUCAAGAGUUG